rnacentral:rRNA from 1 species
UACGUAGGGGCCUAGCGUUGUUCGGAUUCAUUGGGCGUAAAGGGUGCGUAGGCGGCGCGGUAAGUCGGGUGUGAAAUCUCGGAGCUUAACUCCGAAACUGCAUUCGAUACUGCCGUGCUUGAGGACUGGAGAGGAGACUGGAAUUUACGGUGUAGCGGUGAAAUGCGUAGAUAUCGUAAGGAAGACCAGUGGCGAAGGCGGGUCUCUGGACAGUUCCUGACGCUGAGGCACGAAGGUCAGGGGAGCAAACGGG